CUUUCCUAUGAAUGUGAUGCCUGCUCGGGCUGAGAGAGCCGUCAUCAUCUCUCCACGACUUCUCACCCUUUGACUUUCCUAUGAAUGCAAUGCCUGCCCGGCCUGAGAGAGCUGUCAUGAUCUCUCCACAACUUCUCACCCUGGUGGAGGGAGAAGGAAGUGCCAAGGGCCCUUUGCCAGUAAGCCUAUAGUUGGACAAGGGAAAGUUUAUUCUGAAAAUGAUGGAAUUUUACUUGUCGAAGCAAAAUGGUGAAAAUCCCCUCUGAGCAUUGCAGAUGCAACCACUGGGUUGAGAGAGUCUUGCAGGUCAUCUUCAGAGAUACAUUUGAAGUCAUUAAGUCCCUGAACAGUCCAUCCAAGAGGAGAAAGCAAGAAAUUUGUCCAACAGCUCAUGUGUCAUCAGUGAAAGUUUUCUCACCUAUGGAAGCCAUGUGGUGGGAGGCAAGAGUGUUCAUUUCAGCAAUGACUAAGAAACCACCAUUGGGCUGUGCCCACAAAUGACCGUGGAGACCGGGAGCAGCACCCAGAGGGGGCCUUGCAUUGUGACGGUAGUAACAGCAGCAGCAUGAACGUGGCUCUUUGUAUAAAUUAUUUUUAGGCUGCUCCUGCCAGAGAAGAAGGAAAGUACGUUAAUGGGGAGUGAUGCAUAAGCCAGAAACAGCACAGAAGAUUUGGUCUUUGGUUGGAAAAUGGACAGUUUAUCCAAAAUAACAAGAGACACUGUGAGAUGUUGGGGGUAUAGUUGCAGGUAGAUAGGCAGUAGAGGGGCUUAUAAAAAUUCUCUUCCCUUUGCUUAUGUUUUCUCAGUAAAAUUAACUGAAAGUGAGAACUGAGGAGUAGGAGAUAAGAGAAAGGAGGGACUUAAAAUAGUCAUCUAGGAGAAUGGGAACUUAAAAAGACCAGGGAUCCUGGGAGCACUCACCUUAUCUAGGGAGCCUCAAAAGCUUCCUGGGGAAGGAGGCCUUGAAACUUAGACCUUAAGAAUGAACCAGAGUGUUUUGAAUGGACAGAGGCUUAUCUUUUGGAAAAGGAAAUAUAGUAUAUGCUAAGACCUGGGGACUAGGAAAUGUAUAGCACAUUGAAAUAUGAAUAUUGCUGGGUGUCCUGCACAAUAAGCAAAUGUAGGAAUUGAGUUUGUAGAAAUAGUUAGUUGGAAGAUUUCUCUUCAGGUUUUAUAUUCCAUGGGAUUGUAAAAAUAAAAUCUGUAAUGGGAAAGAAAGAUAAAAAUUAAAUUAGCGAAAGAAGAAAAGGAUAAUUGCUUUUAAUUACUUAAUUACUUUUGAUUAAGUAGGGCUUUGAUCUUGUCCAAAGAUGUUAAUAAUGAAAAUACUUAGUGAAUUAAGGUUAUGAAAAUAGAAGUCAAGAAUUAAGAAAUUUACAAAUACUGAUACACUGGGAAUUCCUGAUGUCCCUAAUGAAAGUCACAAUCAGCUGCAAGAACAGAAAAGUGAGCAUAACUGCAAUUCACAAAUGAUGAAAAGUAUUCAUCAUUUUGCAGAUAAUAGACUAAACUAUCUUCAGCUCCUGUAGUUAUUACAUCAGAGAGGAAUGUAAUGACAUAUUUAUCAUACUUAGUACCAUUAAUAGAAGUAUCCUAAAAGCAUACACAGAAUUACAUAAACACACAUCUAUGUGCAUAUAUAGAUAUUCACAACUUUGGCAGAGAAGCUAGGUAAAAUGUGAAAUGGAAGAACAUAAAAAUAAAACCAAGUACCAUCUUGGCAAUAAGAAUUCUUUUCCUCUACUUAGGUGUCUUUCCAAAAAUAAGAGUAUGCAUUAGCAUCAAUUCAGAUAGUAAUAUGUUUUUAAUAUUUAUAUCUCUAGAAGGUUUUUAUACUUCCCAUAAAUAAUCAAAAUAUACUUGGACAAAAUGACUUCCAAAACUAUGGAGAAUUAAGAGCAAAUCUGACAGAGUAAUGAGAAUCCAUUAAAAAAUAUAGCACUUGGGUAUAUUCAAAUUUUAGGUCUUCAGCUAAACUUGUUAAUAAUUGCCCCACUUAUUGCAUGUGUCCUGAAAUAAUGCAUCACUGAUGACAUUCUUUUCAUUGUAUUCAUUCACGUGCCUUCUAUGUUCUCAGAGUUAAAAGUUAUGGGGAAUACUAAAAGUAACAGACUACCUACCCUUGAGGAGAUUCCCAGAGAAAACUUGUGAGAAUUACAGUUCCUCCUUCCAUCCCCAACUCAAAUAAUGUAAUUGGCUUAAGUCCAUUAGGCUUCUCAUUAUGGAAAAGGGUCUAGUAGAACCACAUGAAUCAUGAGUUAUUCCAUCCUUAGCCAUUAAGACACAGUGGAAAAUAUAAGUCAUUGCAUGCAUGACAUGCUGUGGUCCACCGAGGGGGAGAAGUGGUGUGCUUCCUUUAAUUACUCCCUUGGAACCACACAUGUCUAGCCAUGGUCUUUUCUUUUACUAUUUUCCAAAUAAUUACUACUCUAAUUGCUUCAUCUGGAGCAGCUCGUGUUCAUUCUAAUACUUGGCUGCCAGUGUUCUUUCUUCCCUCUUCUCUCCACUCACACAUUCUCCUCCCACCUUCCUUUCUUUGUUCCUUCUCUUUCUUGCUCUCUUUUUUUUAGCAUCUAAAUCUGAUGAAGUUCUGGUUUUUACUCUUUGAAAGUUUAAGUGGUUGAAUUAAAUCACAACUUUCUUUGGUCAAUCAUCUAGGGAGCUGUUUUGGAAUCGAGGAAACAUUUUGUUUACGACUCAAGCUUUCCACCUGUGCUGACAUGGCAUGGACUUUACAGCUAUAUUGAAAGCGUUAUAACCAGCAACUCAGAAAUUCCACAUUCUCUUGAGCUGCAUUAUUCUGGAACGUUUGUCAGGCAGCCAAUUGCCUUGUCAGCCCCUAAUUGAUUUACAUUAACAUCUGUAGGAAUGAGGUGGGGUGAGGGUGGGGUGAGCCUGGGCUCACUUGAGAACACCCAGUUGUGGAGUUUCAUGUGGGCAUGAGAGAUUUACAAACAGAAUUGAAAAUAAACGCCAUGUUUUCUUUUAUUUUGUUUGUUUUAUUUUUAUGCAAUGUGCUUAAAUUACAGAUGUUCACAAAGCCAAUAUAAACUUUUAUUACUUUGUGAAAAGUUGAGUGAGCUUAGCCUCUCCGUCACUUAGCUGUAAAGAACACCUGGCCCGAAAGGCAGGCUUCGUUUUUCCCUUGGGCAGGGGGAGAAUAAAGAAACCAAGAAAACCCUUAAGAAUGUUCCCCUCUGACAGCUUUCAUUUACAAAAGUAUGGUAGUUAGCUUUAAUAGCUCUCUCUUAUACUUAGACCCUACUCCUCCUGGAUUAGAAACAUAAAUCUGUAUUUCUCAUUUAGAAACACCUGGUCUGAUGUUAGGUCCAGCGUGAGGGAGUCUGGAGAAAUCUGUAAAAGGGGAUCACUGGUGGGGAUGCACAAGAUACUUGUUCACUACAAAGUUGCUUGUGGGCACAAAUGGUCUAUACUAGAGGUCUCAUAUUAGCAGUGGAACAUCUAGAGUGCCUUGGCCCACACAGUAUUUUAACUGCUGACGUCCUUCAUAGACACCACAGUCCCUGCCACUCCCUGGUGAUCACACGUGGUCCAGUGCACACAUUUAGAUUAUAUGUCUGACCUUUGUUGAUAUGAGUUUGCAAUCUUUAAUUUUUACACUGCCACCCUGAAGCUUCUGCAAGAGAGAUAGAGUAGGGGUUAGGGAUGAUAAGAGAUAUGUAUGGUGUGAGUGUGGGGACCACAGAGCUAUAGGAUGAGAGAAAGGAGUUACAUAGGUUUGUCUGGGCCUCUGUCUAUGGGGCAACAAUAGCUGAGAAUGACUCUGGGGAAAGGGCCUAGUUCUUUCUACUUCUUGCUCCCAGAAAACUACCAGCUGGUCAACAGAGGCACUGGCGGCAGGCUUGUGGGGUCGAGCAACUUGCUGAUGGGACCCCUGGGUUAUAGCACUCCUGGGUCACAGUGUUCUUUGAUUUCCACACGCCUUAGUUACAGAACACCCUGUUCAUAGCAUGCCUGUGUCAAUAGAGCUCAGUGGUUGCCAAAUGCGUUGGUCACAACUUGCCUUGGUUACUGAAUGCCUUAGACUUUGGCACAACUUGGUCGGAGUGCACCUUGGUCACAACAUCGGGACCACAGUGCUCCUUGGGUCCCAGCAUAUUGGUCCCUGAGCAAUUUUGUAACAGUACACUUUUGUCAUGGCACCAAGCCUAGGUCACUGGGUGUGUUGUUCACAGUGAUUUGAUCAUAGCAUGCCUUGGCCACAGUAUGUUUGCUUUAUUAUGCUGGGAUCUUUGUGGAUGGGUCACAGCAACCUUUGGCCAUUGUGGGCUUCUGUCUCCAUUUUCUUGGGUCAUACAGUGCCUAGGAUGCUUUGCUCACUACAUACAUGGUAGUCACCAUGUACCUGGACACCUGGAUUACUGCACACCUGGGUCACUGUGUGCUUGGGUCAUGUCUCAUCUGGGUCAUAGUAUGACUUGGCUAUGAUGUGCUUUCCAUUUGUGAAGUAAUGGCAAUUAGAAAUAACCUUUUUGGGUUUUGGUAUUCACAUGACAGGAGGGGAUCCAGAAGUAUAGUAAGAGAGACAUCAUAUAACUAGUAACACAGGUACUCAAAGUCACAUUGAUAUGCAUAGUAAAAGAAUGUGUGUCCCAGAUUUUUAAGGCAGACAUUUUGUAGACAUGCUUGUACAUACAUAGAAGAUAUCAAAAAGGAUAUAUACCCAAAUGGUGGCAAUCAGUUUUUGUGGGUAGUGAUAUUAGAGUCUACUUUUAUCCUUUAUUCUUUGUAAACAUCUUUAUUUAAUAUUUUAAGGCAAAUGAAACCCUUUAUUCUUCAUGACCCACCUCCAGUGUCACAACUGCUGGGACACCUAGCCAGAUGGUUGCCAGUAGGUAUCGAUCACUUUUCCCUCUGGCUUCUGGGCACUGUCUCUGUCACUCCUGGGGACCACACUGGGGUAGUGGCAGGGAUGGGCAGGAAUCUGUCUCUUCAGCUGCUGCUUCUUCAUCUUUUUAAAAGCCUGCCUUUUCUCCAACAGAAUAUGACAGCACAUUUCUAUUCAUAGACCACUCAUUGGACAAAUGCUGAAUUAUCUGCAAACAACUCUACUGCCCCCUUCUCUGUAUUAAUUUCAUAAGGCCUAGAAAAAAAUCUAAAGAUCAUUGUCUCAUUUUUCUUGGCUUCUGUGCUGAAAUAAAACUAAAACUUUCUAGAGAGAAAGUUAUUAGCUAUUCUGAAGAACCUCCUAAGAAGCUUAUUCCACAACAUCCUUUACAGCUUGAUAAAGCUUCUCCUUAUAACCAAGUUGAAGUGCUCUUUCUGCAGUACAGCCUAUUACUGAUCUCAAGAGCAGUUAUAGAACCUGCCCCAGAAUCAUCCAAAAGGUAUAAGCACAAUCCUUGCGAACAUAGAAAUCCAGUUUCAUUUCUGGGGUCCUCAGUCAUUACAUCCAGCCUUUUUAGAACAUUGCAGUUUUAUGAGUGCUUUCAUGGACAUCGUUUCCCUUGAACUUUGCAACAAUCCUGCAACAAAGACAGUACUCAUUUUAUUAACCAUAUUUUACAAAUAAGAAAAUGAAAAAAUAAUUUCCAAAACUGCUCAAUCUCUGGUUUCAGGUUGGGUGUAAAACACAAACUUUUAUCUUUUAACAUAUGAUCAUAAAUACGGCUUUUUUCGUUGGAACCCACAAUAUCAGACGGAGAUAAGUAUAGGAGCAGAUCUUAUUCUUCCAUAGCAAAUCAAUGAUUUGCUCAAGAUUUUCACUGACAGAAAUGAAAACAGGUUUCCUGAUUGUCUUACAUUUUAUUCAAUAAUAGUAGCAAAAGAAAUAUUAGAAGUAGUAGUAGUAAAGCAGCUAUCUUUAUUUAACCCAUUAUUGAGGCUGGAAAUCAUACUCAUGUGUAUUAUUUGUGAUCCCCACAGUAACCCUGGAAAGUAGGUGUUAUUUCCAAAUUACACAUGGGGAAGCAGAGGCUUAGAGAUUAAAUAAUUCACACCCCUAAGUAACAGGCUAGAGCAGGAAUUGGCAUCUAUAUGUGUCUGACUCCUAAAUCUCACAACUAACCCAUUGUGCCUCACUAAAUUAUAAACAUUUGCCUUAUUUGUGUCAUGUCUUCAAUACUUAUUCCACAAAUUAAUAAAAGGCAUUCAUGAGGUUUGAUCUAUUUUGUUUAUAUUUGCAAGUUUCUUCCUUAUUCUCAUCCCUGUAAUGAACAUUUCUCCUCAUUCAAUAGUGA